CCUCUCAUUGGAGAACCUACUUCACUGGGGCAACUUUUCUCUAGUUCAUUCCCACAACUCACAUGUCUGACCUUUCAAGAGCUAGUAAUGGGCAACAUACGCAGUGAAGCAAUACUACGUAAUCUAAUGAACCACCUGCAUUUGAAAUCAAUGAGUAUCAUCAAAUGUUUUACGGAUGACGAAUUGGACCCCCUGGCUGAACAAAUAACUGCUGAGAAAAGGAUGAAAAUAACUCUUGGACAUGACACGGAACAAGAGAGCAUAGAAUUUGGUGAUGGGGAUUCCUGCGUUGGACCAUUAACAGUAGAUACAGUGGAUGCACUUUGCCAUCGAACAUGUGUUCGUUGUUUAAAAGUUCGCAAAAUGGGCGUAAAUAUUGCAAGUGGCAAACGUUUUCCGGACCUUGAUGGCAGAGAGGUGGAU
rnacentral:lncRNA from 1 species